rnacentral:rRNA from 1 species
GAUGAACGCUGGCGGCGUGCCUAAUACAUGCAAGUCGAGCGAACAGACGAGGAGCUUGCUCCUCUGACGUUAGCGGCGGACGGGUGAGUAACACGUGGAUAACCUACCUAUAAGACUGGGAUAACUUCGGGAAACCGGAGCUAAUACCGGAUAAUAUAUUGAACCGCAUGGUUCAAUAGUGAAAGACGGUUUUGCUGUCACUUAUAGAUGGAUCCGCGCCGCAUUAGCUAGUUGGUAAGGUAACGGCUUACCAAGGCAACGAUGGGUAGCCGACCUGAGAGGGUGAUCGGCCACACUGGAACUGAGACACGGUCCAGACUCCUACGGGAGGCAGCAGUAGGGAAUCUUCCGCAAUGGGCGGAAGCCUGACGGAGCAACGCCGCGUGAGUGAUGAAGGUCUUCGGAUCGUAAAACUCUGUUAUUAGGGAAGAACAAAUGUGUAAGUAACUAUGCACGUCUUGACGGUACCUAAUCAGAAAGCCACGGCUAACUACGUG